GCGCCCGUAGCUCAGUUGGAUAGAGCGUCUGGCUACGAACCAGAAGGUCGGGAGUUCGAAUCUUCCCGGGCGCGCCA
rnacentral:tRNA from 6 species